GUUUUAAUUAAGCCUUUACACCUUCAAUGUAAUUGAAUUUGAAGGUUUGUCCCACCUUAUGACUGGUACUGUAUGUAAAAAUGUACAACUUUAUGCAAGAAACAGCAGAUCAAAAAUAACUGAUGCAACAUAUUAACUUGGACAGGAAAUGUCUCUUAAGCACAUGGGAUCUUCAUUUCUACCCCCCCCUCCGCUCUCUCUGUAAUUAGGGCUUUUUCAGUAUUUCCAGCAAUGUUUUCAUCAGUGUACAGCUUUGCCAGCCUCGGCUGAGAGCGAGGAAGAAUGAAGCGGGGGAAAAGGGGGGGAGAGAAGGUCCUCUGUGGCUUUUAAUAGUUCUCGUCUCUCCCCUGGACUCUCCUUUAAUUGCUCUGCUCUGCCUGCAGGGUCAUCAUUACUCUGAUCAAGUGCAACUCUGUUUUUCACUGCUUUUCAUGAAUAUCAUUUUCCAAAACAACUGCUUUGAGGUUUUUCAAGCAGGAGAUCAAAUUGGAUCACCUACUCAUAUGUAAAUGUAAGAGUGUUCUUGGCAUUAGCAGGAUACAAUAUAUUUAAUAUGCAGGGCUUUCAAGUCUUCAAUAAAUCCGACACCCAAAACACUUUGAAGUGUUUUUUUUUCUUGCUUUAAUCAAGCAAAAUGCCUUUUGAGGUUUUGACAGUCACUGGUGGGGUCAGAGAGCAUAGAUUAGUUCUGCAACUAAGUGAGAUUGUAGGUCCCAAAAUCCUCAUGUUUGUAUCUUCCUGAUAAAAUGGAGCUCAGCUCCCCAGGCCUUCCUUUCUAAUUGCUCUGGCCUGUCUCUCGGGUUAUUAUUGCUCUGAUCAAGCGCAACUCUAUAAUAGUCCUGGUUUUCCACAAUAAAAGAGGUACUGAAGUUUACGAUGUUUGUGGGAAUUAUUACCAAUUGUAUUUGAAGAAUACAAGCAUAGUGCAAAAAAAGGGAAAGGUAACAUUUCAUUCUUCAUUGAGGGAACAAGUGCUGAAUCCGACUGUUCAGAGCAAUCAGAAAAGGCUAAAUCACAUAGAUCGGAACGGUGUCCACUUUUCAUUUAUGUCUUGACUUAAACUGGUUAUUCAAAAAAUGUUUUAAAGGAAUAUGUGGAGCAACAGGGGAAAUGUGGAGAAGAAAUGCAGUUAUAAAAGAUAGAAAGAUAGAAGUUGUUUUAGGUAUAAGAUCUCGGUCCACCAUGCUGACUUUAUACUGUAAGGGGCUAAAGUGUUUGUUCAGAGAGUGCACUUGCUCUUCUCAAUUCAAAGAUAUUCAUUUCGACAUAACCUAUUGAUUUCUUGCAGAUAAAUAAUGUCAAGUCUUGGCAUUUGAGAUCACAUAAAUAUAUAUCGCCAGAAAGGCUGUUACGGUGAAGCUGUCAUAUUUGAGGCCCCUUACAAAAGUAUAUGCCAUUUAUUAUAAUAUUUUAACUUGAUAAGAAUCUUUGAAUGCAGGGGGGAACAGAGUGAUCUCGGGGCUAAUCUACAGCAAAAUGAAAAAGCCACACAGACGAGAAGAAGAAGAGUAAAGUAUUAGAAAAUAAAGAUUGUUUCUUAAUCCUGCUUUAAUUCAGAAACUAUUUGGCACAUAAACAGCAUAUUGUAAGUAAGUGAACUCCAAGUCGGUUCAUCACUCCUGCUUUAAAAUAUACAUGACAGACUGCAUGUUGUUGCCAAUCGGUAGUCGGUUCCAUAAACUUGUUGUAAUGUGCAAUCUACCAUGCAGGAGAUGUCAAAGUAGAUCUUCAUAUCUGGAGAGGCGUAUCCUUCACUUCUUUUCCCUUGAUGUUUUCUCAUUGUACUUGUCUCAACAGUGUGGUUCUGAAUGCAGCUUUUAGAGACCAACUCUCUGAAACUUCAUUAGUAUCUCCAGAACACAACUUGCUGGGCUGCUCUGGAUCCCAGACUCGCUACCGGCCCUGUUUCGACAACGAAUCCAUGUACAAUCCAACAGGGAAGAGAGUCGGUCUAUCGAUCCAAAGAAUGGGAGGCAUCAAAAGAUCCUUAGGAGCAGGAGCUGAAAGGAGCAGCGAUGGCGAAGAGUAUAUCAGGAAGCAACCAAUUCGGAAGGAGACUACCAGACAUGAGAGGAAUACUUUUUCCAAUUGGACCAUGUGUAGAUCGGUCACCUCCACUGUUUACCGUGGGAAUAAAUAUCAGUACAAAUAGGGGAAGAACUCUGGUAUUCCAAUUGCAUGGCAUCACUUUGAUCCUCAUUUGAUCAGAUUAAAUGUCAAUGUAAACCCC
ensembl:lncRNA